rnacentral:rRNA from 1 species
CCUACGGGAGGCAGCAGUGAGGAAUAUUGGUCAAUGGACGAGAGCCUGAACCAGCCAAGUAGCGUGAAGGAUGACUGCCCUAUGGGUUGUAAACUUCUUUUAUAUGGGAAUAAAAUGUUCCACGUGUGGGAUUUUGUAUGUACCAUAUGAAUGAGGAGCGGCUCACUCCGUGCCAGCCGCCGCGGUAAUACGGAGGAUUCGAGCGUUAUCCGGAUUUAUUGGGUUUAAGGGGAGCGUAGGUGGUUUGUUAAGUCAGGUGUGAAAGUUUGCGGCUAAACCGUAAAAUUGCAGUUGAAACGGGCAGUCUUGAGUACAGUAGAGGUGGGCGGAAUUCGCGGUGUAGCGGUGAAAUGUUUAGAUAUCACGAAGAACACCGAUGGCGAAGGCAGGUCACUGGACUGCAACUGACACUGAGGCUCGAAAGUGUGGGUAGCAAACAGGAUUAGAUACCCUGGUAGUC